rnacentral:rRNA from 1 species
CAGUAGCCACGGGAAUACGGAGGGUGCAAGCGUUAAUCGGAAUUACUGGGCGUAAAGCGUGCGUAGGCGGUUCGUUAAGUCUGUUGUGAAAGCCCCGGGCUCAACCUGGGAAUGGCAAUGGAUACUGGCGAGCUAGAGUGUGUCAGAGGAUGGUGGAAUUCCCGGUGUAGCGGUGAAAUGCGUAGAGAUCGGGAGGAACAUCAGUGGCGAAGGCGGCCAUCUGGGACAACACUGACGCUGAGGCACGAAAGCGUGGGGAGCAAACAGGAUUAGAUACCCGAGUAGUCCCUGUCUCUUAUAC